rnacentral:lncRNA from 1 species
CUGAACAAUCCAGUAAGAUUGUACUUCAGUACAAAUCCAUGGUCUCUGUACAGACCUAUUUUAUUUUAUUUAUUUUGAGACAGAGUCUCGCUCUUGUCCAGGCUGGAGUGCAGUGGUAUGAUCUCAGCUCACUGCAACCUCUGCCUCCCAGGUUCAAGCAAUUCUCCUGCCUCAGCCUCCCCAGUAGUUGGGACUACAGGUGCCUGCCACCAUGCCCAGUUAACUUUUGUAUUUUUAGUAGAGAUAGGGUUUCACCCACCAUGUUGGCCAGGCUGGUCUCGAACUCCUGACCUCAGGUGAUCUGCUGGUCUCAGCCUCCUAAAGUGCUGGGAUUACAGGGAUGAGCCACCGUCCCCAGCCUCUUUUAUUUUUAAAAUGAGCCAAAGAUGAGGCCAGCCGAGGCUAAAUGCUACAAGCAACUACUCUGAGCCUACACGCCAUGUCUGAUGAAGUAAUGAAAGGACCAUAAACCCAAGGGAAUGUUUGCUGUGUCAAAUCACAGCUUAGUAACCUAGAAAAGAGGCUCUGUCCCUUCCUCUAGGGAAUCUGAUGUUUACAAAGGAAGACACCAUGGCACCUCAAAUGACAUCCUUUCAUAUUGUGAAGAUGGGAUAAAGAGACUUCACUGUAUUCCACUGCAGACUUAUCCAUAUGACAUGAC